rnacentral:rRNA from 1 species
AGUGAAGCGGGAAGAGCUCAAAUUUGAAAUCUGGUAGCCUUCGGUUGCCCGAGUUGUAAUCUAGAGAAGUGUUUUCCGCGUUGGCCCAUGUACAAGUCCCUUGGAACAGGGCGUCAUAGAGGGUGAGAAUCCCGUCCUUGACAUGGACCCCCAAUGCUUUGUGAUACACUUUCAACGAGUCGAGUUGUUUGGGAAUGCAGCUCAAAAUGGGUGGUGAAUUCCAUCUAAAGCUAAAUAUUGGCGAGAGACCGAUAGCGAACAAGUACCGUGAGGGAAAGAUGAAAAGCACUUUGGAAAGAGAGUUAAACAGUACGUGAAAUUGUUGAAAGGGAAACGAUUGAAGUCAGUCAUGCUCUUUGGAUUAAGCCGUUCUGCGGUGUAUUUCAUUGAGCGGGGUCAACAUCAGUUUUGAUCGCUGGAAAAGGGCAGGAGGAAGGUAGCACUCUCGGGUGAACUUAUAGCCUCUUGUCGUAUACAGUGAUUGGGACUGAGGAACGCAGCAUGCCUUUUGGCCGGGAUUCGUCCACGUACAUGCUUAGGAUGUUGACAUAAUGGCUUUAAACGACCCGUCUUGA